CGGAUGGCCAGCUGCAGGUGACG
rnacentral:miRNA from 1 species